GUUGAUGUUGUUGUUGCUGAGUAGAAACUGAUUGAUUGGUUAAAUUGUUGGAAAAGAUUGGAAUUACUGAUGAAACUUGAUGUUGAUCUCGACGUGACUGAGAAUUCUUCCCCGCAUGAGGCCUCCUCUGCCUCCCAGCUGAUACUGCAUUAGUUUCUCCUUCCUUCCUUCUUUUUGGAGAAACUCGUACCAUACUUCUUACUUGUCGACGCUUCAUCUUUG
rnacentral:lncRNA from 1 species